UACGUAGGGUGCAAGCGUUGUCCGGAAUUAUUGGGCGUAAAGAGCUCGUAGGCGGUCUGUUACGUCGGCUGUGAAAACCUGGGGCUCAACCCCGGGCCUGCAACCGAUACGGGCAGACUAGAGUUCGGCAGGGGAGACUGGAAUCCCUGGUGUAGCGGUGAAAUGCGCAGAUAUCAGGAGGAACACCAAUAGCGAAGGCAGCUCGCUGGGACGUUACUGACACUGAGGCGCGAAAGCGUGGGGAGCGAACAGG
rnacentral:rRNA from 1 species